rnacentral:rRNA from 1 species
UACGUAGGGUGCGAGCGUUGUCCGGAAUUAUUGGGCGUAAAGGGCUCGUAGGCGGUCUGUUGCGUCGGUAGUGAAAACUCAGGGCUUAACCCUGAGCCUGCUUCCGAUACGGGCAGACUAGAGGUAUGCAGGGGAGAACGGAAUUCCUGGUGUAGCGGUGAAAUGCGCAGAUAUCAGGGGGAACACCGGUGGCGAAGGCGGUUCUCUGGGCAUUACCUGACGCUGAGGAGCGAAAGUGUGGGGAGCGAACAGG